rnacentral:rRNA from 1 species
UACGUAGGGUGCAAGCGUUGUUCGGAAUCAUUGGGCGUAAAGCGCGCGUAGGUGGCCCCAUAAGUCCGCUGUGAAAGUCAAAGGCUCAACCUUUGAAAGCCGGUGGAUACUGCGGGACUAGAGUACGGAAGAGGCGAGUGGAAUUCCUGGUGUAGCGGUGGAAUGCGCAGAUAUCAGGAGGAACACCAAUAGCGAAGGCAGCUCGCUGGGACGUUACUGACACUGAGGCGCGAAAGCGUGGGGAGCGAACAGG